rnacentral:lncRNA from 1 species
GCCGUGAGGGACAUCUCGGUGGCGCCGCUCAACGCCGACGACCUGACGCUCCUGGACCAGAUGAUGGACCAGGAGGACGGCGUCCGCAACCGCCGCAAGAACAAGCAGUGGAAGCGCAGCCUGAGCGUGUCCCUGCGCCGGCCUCGCCUCGCCUCCCAGUCCAAGGCUUCUGACACAAAGUAACCCGAGCUCUGGUACAGAUCCAGCUGAAAACAGGAGAAAACACUGAACACGUUUUCUGA